rnacentral:rRNA from 1 species
AAAUAGAACUUUGCAGAGAGAGUUAACAGGGCGUGAAACCGUUAAUUGGCAAACGAAUCGGAGCCACGAAGUCGUUUCGUGAGUCGGGCUGGGUUCAGUGGGCUUCGAAAGGAGCUUGCGUACUUCCAGCUCGGCCUUGUAAGCGUACACUGCAACCAGUUAGACGAUUGGUGGUGGGCACAGUUAGGUUACUCGGGUUAGUAGUAGUGUGGUCAAGUUUCGGCUUGAUUCGCGCUGCUGGGCUCGCGGUAGGUGAACUACCUCCAAAAACUGACUGGCUAAAUGAAAAUCGCCUAAUGGGCGUGCAUAGAACGCGGUAACUGCACUCGGGACUACAUGCUGGACCAUGGGGUUUAAGCUCAGCAUCUUUGAAUUUGGACUUGCUUGCUACCAGUGGGGCAACUCCUGGUGCUUGUAUAGCUUCCAUCUAAUCGGGUGUUGACUUGAUUCCAUGUCGCUCUAGCAUGCUACGAUCGGCUUCAAGUGCAAGCUACUUAGCAAUCUUAUUGGCAGUGAGUAGGUCGGCUUUCCGAACGACCCGUCUUGAAACACGGACCAAGGAGUCUAAUUAGGCAUCAAGUCGAUCGGUCUUGAAUAGGCCAGACUGGGCGGCUUCGUCCGAUUGAAGGCGCAGAGACAAUCAUGUGAUCAGGCGGGCAACAACAGCCUCCAUGCGCAACAUGUGCCUGUUCAAUUGAGUGUGCUUGCACUCUAGAGCGGAGCAAAGAGAUGCCUGAUUGGUACCCGAAAGAUGGUGAUGCUUGGGCAAAUUGAAGCCAGAGGAAACUCUGGUGGAGGAUUGUAGCGAUUCUGACGUGCAAAUCGAUCGUCAGACCUGAGUAUAGGGGCGAAAGACUAAUCGAACCAUC